rnacentral:rRNA from 1 species
UACAGAGGUCCCGAGCGUUGUUCGGAUUCACUGGGCGUAAAGGGUGCGUAGGUGGGUAGGAAAGUCAGUGGUGAAAUCUUCGGGCUUAACCCGGAAACUGCCAUUGAUACUAUUUAUCUUGAAUACUUUGGAGGUAAGCGGAAUAUGUCAUGUAGCGGUGAAAUGCUUAGAUAUGACAUAGAACACCAAUUGCGAAGGCAGCUUACUACACAGUUAUUGACACUGAGGCACGAAAGCGUGGGGAGCAAACAGG